GGAGUGAGGAAAAAGAAAAAAUUUUGUUUUACGAUUCAAGAGGAGAGAGAAUAGUACAGGGAAAAUAAGAUAUUAGAGAGAAAAUAAGAUAGAAAAGAAAAAGAAAAAGAAAGAACAGAAGAGUACAUCUUUUUUAUAAUUCUUGAGGUAAAAGAAAUAAAAGAAUAAAACAUAUAUUAUUUAUUUCAUAAUUAUAAUUUUUCAGUAUAAGAUUAGUGAAGGACUUUAAGAGUUCUUAAGAGAGACUGGACGUAGUUCAAGUUGAGUGAACAAGUAUAAGAUUUACGUGUGUCAUUGUUUUUUGUAUUCAAAAUGUUUUCCUAACUGUUUUAUUAUUUAUGCACUCGUAUAACCUUGGUUGCAACUGUCUAACAACUGCAUUAAGUUUUUAAGUGUUUAUUUGUUAAAAGGUUUUGAAAACACUACUCAACCCCCCUCCCUUUUCUAGUGCAUUCCCGCUCUUCAAGCUUGUGGCUUAUUCAUUUGAGACUUUAUGUCAUUUUCUUUAAUCAUUUUUCAACAGUAGUAGUUCUCAAUGAUGAACCUUUGUCUAAUG
rnacentral:lncRNA from 1 species